rnacentral:rRNA from 1 species
UACGAAGGGAGCUAGCGUUGUUCGGAAUUACUGGGCGUAAAGCGCGCGUAGGUGGUCAUACAAGUCAGGGGUGAAAUCCCACGGCUCAACCGUGGAACUGCCUUUGAAACUGUAUGGCUAGAGUUCGGAAGAGGAGAGUGGAAUUCCUAAUGUAGAGGUGAAAUUCGUAGAUAUUAGGAGGAACACCAGUGGCGAAGGCGGCUCUCUGGUCCGACACUGACACUGAGGCGCGAAAGCGUGGGUAGCAAACAGG